rnacentral:rRNA from 1 species
ACUCCUACGGGAGGCAGCAGUGGGGAAUAUUGCACAAUGGGCGCAAGCCUGAUGCAGCCAUGCCGCGUGUGUGAAGAAGGCCUUCGGGUUGUAAAGCACUUUCAGUCGUGAGGAAGGUAGUGUAGUUAAUAGCUGCAUUAUUUGACGUUAGCGACAGAAGAAGCACCGGCUAACUCCGUGCCAGCAGCCGCGGUAAGUACGGAGGGUGCGAGCGUUAAUCGGAAUUACUGGGCGUAAAGCGCAUGCAGGUGGUUGUUAAGUCAGAUGUGAAAGCCCGGGGCUCAACCUCGGAAUAGCAUUUGAAACUGGCAGACUAGAGUACUGUAGAGGGGGUAGGAAUUUCAGGUGUAGCGGUGAAAUGCGUAGAGAUCUGAAGGAAUACCGGUGGCGAAGGCGGCCCCUGGACAGAUACUGACACUCAGAUGCGAAAGCGUGGGAGCGAAACAGGAUUAGAUACCCCUGGUAGACUGUCA